CUGCAAAUAUUCUCACUGUCCUGAUUGUGUAAUCAUCAAGACAGGCUAAACAUUUGCUAUAAUAAGACGAUGCAUGUCUCCCCAGAUGUAGUUCUUUACCUACUUAGAUCUGGAUUUAGAAAGGAUGGUGAUAAAU